rnacentral:lncRNA from 1 species
GAUGAUAGGCGGGCGGAAGGACUGGUGCAGGUGGGCCAGCCCCUUGGCGGCGCCAAGGGCGAUCUUGAAGCGGGCGGCCCAGUUCAGCGGGGGCAGUUCGGGGCGGUCGUGGAGACGGGCCUGGAGGCUGCCGCCGGCGGCGUAGUCGGAGAUGAGGAGCUGCAGCUGCGGGGUCCAGUAGUAGCCACGGAGGGGCAUCAGGUUGGGAUGGCGGGCCUUGCCGAGGAUGCGCACCUCGCGGUCGAAGUCGUCAUGGUACUGCACGAUGUUGGCGGUGAGCAGCUUCUUGACGGCGACGAGCUUGUCGGAGGCGACGGCGGCCUUGUAGACGGUGCCGAAGGCGCCGCGCCCGAUCUCGGUGGCCUUGUGGAGCAGCGCCUCGCCGCUGCCGCCGAAGUCCUCAGAGAGGAGCUCGCUGCGGGGGCCGAAGAGGACGAGCUUCCCCACGGCGGGGUCGCCGGAGCGGGUCGAACUCGAGCACAUGCUCUCCAGGGCGGUCUCCACCAGGCCCACGCGCCGGCGCGCCGAGGCGUUGAGCAGGGCCACCACGACCACGCCGAGGACGAUGACCAGCGCGGCGGAGAUGGCGACGAUGGCUGACACGCUCAGGAACCGCCGGUGGCGGGCCUUGGCGGCGGCCACCGCCACGGAGGACGGGCUGCCGGAGGCGCCGACGAGGUCUCCGGCCGGCCCGCCGUUCGCCGACCGGUAGCUGUCGGGGUCGAGGACGAGGGGCUUGGGGACGUUCAUCCUGCAGGGCUCGUGGACGAGGGGGGAGCAGAUGCCGGCGUUCCCCUCGAUGGCGCUCUGGUCGAGGCUGGGGAAGACGCCGCCGGCGGGCAGGCGGCCGAUCAGGCGGUUGUGCGAGAUGUUCACGGCGAGGAGACUGUCAAGGGCUCCGAGCUCCGGCGGGAUCUCUCCGCUCAGGUCGUUGAACUCCAGGUUCAGAAUCUCCAACUUCCUCAGCUGGGACAGCGCCGGCGGGAUCGACCCAUUCAAGUUGUUGUGCGACAGGCCCCUGACCGGCGGAAGAUCCCGAAUUUAGAAGGAAAAAAAACCCAGAAGAAUCCAGCAGCCGAAGCAGUGGUGGGUCUCCGCCGGAGAACCCAGCAGACGGGGUAG